rnacentral:rRNA from 2 species
UCUUGGUCAUUUAGAGGAAGUAAAAGUCGUAACAAGGUCUCCGUUGGUGAACCAGCGGA